AAUGAUAAACCAAGGAGAUUUUGAGAACUUGUCUAGAAACUAGAAUGGUGUAUAACAACAUAAGGCUGUUUGAUUACUAUGUAGUGUGUAAAUAAUAAUGUAGUUUUUGUGAUUGUUUGUCAGUUUCAUCUAGAGUCAGCGCCGGAGAUCAAACUGUUCAGAUCCAUCAUGGAUGAAACACAAACAACUGGAGAUGAAGAUUUGUUUCAAGGAUGCAGUUCAGUUCAUCAGAAGAGAUCAGAAGCAGAGCCCAGCUGUGUGUCUGUGAAGAGUGACGCGUCUAUGAUUGAUCCAAUGAAGUUUAACAGUGGAGAUUCACAACCUAAACUCAGCUCAGUUCAUCAGAAGAGAUCAGAAGCAGAGCCCAGCUGUGUGUCUGUGAAGAGUGAUGCGAUUAUGACUCAGUCAUUAGAUUAUAAAAGUGGAGAUACACGGCCUGAUGUCAGGUAUAAUGU